CCCUCCGUCCCCAUCUAAUUCCCUCCUCAAGGAAAAGGACCAAUCAAGGAUCUUUCCCUUGUCCGCAACCCGAACAAAUCCUCUCGCUUCUCCCUCCUUAUCUACAGCAAUUACCACCUCCACCUUCUUUUUCGUCCUUCCCCUCUGCGGGCACUGCCAUUGAUACGCUCUUCUUCUUCUUUCGUUGAGUCCCCCCGCCUUCUUUGUGCUUUCUGUCAUUCGUUAUUCCUCUUGAUUUUGGUCCGUUUUGCUUCGCUUGAUACGGAAGCAAGCAAGAAAGGCGCGCCUCUUUGUGGAGGAAUCGCCCUCUUUUAAUAUCUCUCCUCCUCCUACUCCAAAGCUCGCGGACUGGGGAGAUGUGGCGGUAUGUCCUCCUCUUCUUUUUCGUUCGUUUCCCCCUCCUCGUUCCUCAUCUCCCUCCCCGCACCAAGAUUGCCCCCUCCAUUUCAUCCCAAGGUCGAUUCUCUGUCGUCCUUCGACCCGUCGAGUGCUAGAAUCCGUAUUGGGAGGAGGAGUAGGAAAGGGAUCUUCCUUAAGGCGAGGGAGGAGGAGCAGGAGGAUGUGUUUGCGAUGGGGCCGAGGUUUAUGGAUGUGGAGGCCGAGAUUUAUGAGUUCAUGCGGAAGUCCGACAAGCCGAUGGACUUCCCGACCAGGAGAGAGCUCGUCGCCGCCGGGAGGGCGGACUUGGCGGAGGCGGUGGCCGCGCAGGGCGGCUGGCUCGCCAUGGGGUGGGAUCUUGAUGGCGACGAGGUGAUAGACGUUGGGACGGAAUCGAGGAGUGGAGUCGGUCAAGAAGAUGGUAGAAUCUGUCAAGAAAGGGUUUCUUGUGGUUCUUUGAUGAGCGAUGUUGUAGGUACACUGGCCGCCGAAGACAAUACGGCUGCCCCAUCUUCUUCGGGGAGAUCAUUGGAGACGGAGAACGUGGAGGAUGAUGGCAUCGAUGGGAUCUUGAGCAGGCUGGAGAAAGAGAGGGGCUUGUCUUUUGUUAUGGGUUCGAGAGAGAAAGCGGUGUAUGAUAAGAACUCCUGGAGGGAUGCUGUCCAUGAUCCAGGAGAUACAACAUUAGUUUCCCACAAGUUGGCUCUCUGUAGUAAUGAUAGAAAUAGCAGAUCUGAGUCUGUAGAAUCAGAAAAUAUAUUUUUACACCAUUCUGGUGGUGUUUACUCCCAAAAUGGGGCAUCAAAAGAUGUCAACAUCACAAAAAGUUCAACACCAGACAUGUGGAGGAGUUGGAGCCUUAAAAGAGCAGGCUUUUCCAUAAAAGAGUUUGAAGCUGCUGAAAUUGUUCCGACUGAUGACAGAAAGACACUAGAAGCUGACCCUUUAGAUGCUGAAUAUAGGAGUGUGCAUAAACAAACUCGGAACUCAUUUAAUUCUGAUAACGGAAUAAAUGAACCGGCUGCUGACAAAAGUCAGAUACAGUUACGUCUCCAGCACCUGGAGGCAGAUCUUAGCUCUGCUCUUCAACUAGCUAGAUCUAGAGCUGGUGCUGUUUCACAAAAGCACCAAAAAAACUCAACAGAUGAGCUACAUAGCCUUUGUGAUGCAUGGGAAUUUCAAGAGACUGAGAUAAUGAAUGCCCGAAAUAAGUUGCGGUCUAUUCGAGCAAAAUUGGCAGUUUUAGAAGGAAAGAUAUCAUUUGAGAUUAUGGAAGCACGAAAACGAACAGAAGAGAAACAAAACAGAAUUGAUUCUGCCCAAAAUGCUUUACUACUACUCCAUACUACUAAUAUAGUUUGGCCUAAUUCUGCUUCAGAAGUUCUACUUGCAGGGUCUUUUGAUGGGUGGACUGGUCAGAGAAGGAUGGAAAGGUCAAGUUCAGGUGUCUUCUCUCUGCAGCUAAAAUUGUACCCUGGCCGAUACGAGAUCAAGUUCAUUGUGGAUGGUGUGUGGAAAGUCGAUCCGCUGCGCCCCAUCGUGCGCAACAGUGGUCAUGAGAACAACCUCCUUAUCGUCAAAUGAUGGUACACAGCCCAAGAGCAGAGAAAUGCUUGGGCAAUGUUGUUUGGGUGGAACCUCCUCCAGUUCAGAUGGCGGCAUUUCAAUCCAAGAACUGGCCAUCCACUGGGGCAGUGCACAUAACGAUGAGAGCUGCUGAACUUGCAACGCUAGAGGAUCUCAGAGACCAAGGAGCUCUUCCCAGUUUCAUGCUUACCCGUCUGAAGCCAAGAAUUAGAAACAUUCUUUUGACAUGAGAAACGUUUGUUUUGUGUGCCCCUUUUUUUCACAGAAAUAUACACCUAUAUGUUUGUUGAUA